AUCUCAUGUUGUGGGCAACUUGCACACAAUUUCUUGAAUCGUUCCCAAUAGUCAUAAAGAGACUCCACAUCUUUUUGUCCUAUCCCAAAGAUCUCCCUUCUUAACUC
rnacentral:snoRNA from 1 species